rnacentral:rRNA from 1 species
UGGGUAACCUGCCUCAAAGAGGGGAAUAGCCUCCCGAAAGGGAGAUUAAUACCGCAUAAACUAUGUUUAGGUCGCAUGACUUUAACAUCAAAGGAUUUUCUUUUAGAAAUUCCACUUUGAGAUGGACCCGCGGCGCAUUAGCUAGUUGGUGAGGUAACGGCUCACCAAGGCAACGAUGCGUAGCCGACCUGAGAGGGUGAUCGGCCACAUUGGAACUGAGACACGGUCCAGACUCCGUAGGAGG